rnacentral:rRNA from 1 species
UGCAUANAAUAGCGGAGGAAAAGAAACUAACAAGGAUUCCCNUAGUAACGGCGAGUGAACCGGGAAGAGCUCAAAUUUGAAAUCUGGCGUGCUCAGUGCGUCCGAGUUGUAAUCUAUAGAGUCGUUUUCCGUGCCGGACUGUGUCCAAGUCCCUUGGAACAGGGUAUCAAAGAGGGUGAUAAUCCCGUACUUGACACAAUGACCGGUGCUCUGUGAUACGUCUUCUACGAGUCGAGUUGUUUGGGAAUGCAGCUCAAAAUGGGUGGUGAGUUCCAUCUAAAGCUAAAUAUUGGCGAGAGACCGAUAGCGAACAAGUACCGUGAGGGAAAGAUGAAAAGCACUUUGGAAAGAGAGUUAAACAGUACGUGAAAUUGUUAAAAGGGAAACGAUUGAAGUCAGUCGUGACUGAGAGGCUCAGCCGGUUCUGCCGGUGUAUUCCCCUCAGUCGGGUCAACAUCAGUUUUGUUCGGUGGAUAAGGGCGGUUGGAAGGUGGCACCCUCGGGUGUGUUAUAGCCAACUGUCGCAUACAUCGGAUGAGACUGAGGAAUGCAGCUCGCCUUUAUGGCCGGGGUUCGCCCACGUUCGAGCUUAGGAUGUUGACAU